GUGUAAAAAGCGAGAAAUUUGCAUUCGGUUUCGGCCCGUAUUUUGGAGGUGAAAGUCCUUCUUUAUAUUAUUUAAAUAA
rnacentral:tRNA from 2 species